CUUCUAAUUAAGUGCUAAAAAGCAGUUGCAGAUGUUGUACAAAAUAAACAUCAAUAAAAUGUGUAACACAAUAAACAUACUCAUCUUUGCAUCAAUAAAAUGUGCAACACUUUGUUUUUCUAACAAAUUACAUGUGAUAUCUAAUUGGCUAUCUAAUUAGCUGUCACUCUGCAGAUCUCGUCUGGUUGGCCAUUGAUGCUAAGCAGGGUUGAGCCUGGUCAGUACCUGGAUGGGAGACCUCCUGGGAAAAUACUAAAGAAUAACAGCAAUAGAAAUGCAACAAUAUGGGGCAAAAUCCCAAAUAGUAUCUCUAGCUGAUUGAGGUGACUUGACCCUCUAUGCUUGUUGUCCGCUGGGCUGGUCACCGCUUCCGAGGUCCGACUCGGCUUCUCCGCUUGCACCCCCUCU